CCGUAAAUACGAUUUCCCUUUAAAAUUAGCGACCGUCACUUACUUCCAGUUUUAAAAUCACGAUUGGAAAAUUUGUUAUGAUUUGUGUCUAAGCACUGUUUUAACCAGUGGUUGGUGGAAUUGUGACACAAACACCCUUUUAAAAGUGUAUUUCGCUGAUUAGUUGGAAUCAGGAGUCAGGUUUUGAGAUCUCACUUCAAGCUGUUCAAGGCCUCAGCAAUUAUGGCUGAUAAAGGUAAAAUGAGGACAGCGGCAACUGCAGCGACAGCGGCAACAGCAGGAUGAAGACCAAAAGCCACUGUCUAUCCACUCUUACCAGUAAACAGGCAAUUCUGCUUUCUUCAUUUGAGAGCAUGCUGAAGAUUCAUGGGAGAAAGGAAUGCAAUUUAAAACAUGUGCUUCAUUCAAAUGUAGUGGAGGUUAUGAAAGACUUCAUCAUGCAGGGUGUGAAGAAUGGCACAGGAAAGCUGGAAUCAUGGAAAAGAUAGCUAGGUUAUACCAGAUAACUUAGGAAGGAAAACAAAA